rnacentral:tRNA from 1 species
GCGAGCGUAAUUUAGUGGUAGAAUUCUUGCUUCCCAAGCAAGGAGUGCGGGUUCGAUUCCCGCCGCUCGCA